GAAUUUAAUAUAAUAGUUUUUAUAGUUUUAUUAGUAAUAAAAUAAAGAAAUUUUUAUAUUUAGUUGGGAGGAUUGUUAAAUAUUAUAAACUUAAAUUAAUAUAAAAAAUAUAAAUUAAUGAAUUUAAGAAUGAUUAAUAUAGUAAAUUAAAUAAGAAUUAAUUACCUUAGGGAUAACAGCAUAAUAUUUUUGGAUAGAUCAUAUUGAUAAAAAUGUUUGU
rnacentral:rRNA from 3 species